rnacentral:tRNA from 1 species
GGGGAUUUAGCUCAGUGGCGUAAGCACCUGCCUUGCAAGCAGGUGGUCGUGAGUUCAAUCCCCG